UGUUCUUGGGUUCUAUAAGAGAGCAGGCUGAGCAAGCCAGGGGAAGCAAGCCAGUAAGAAACAUCCCUCCAUGGCCUCUGCAUCAGCUCCUGCUUCCUGACCUGCUUGAGUUCCAGUCCUGACUUUCUUUGGUGAUGAACAGCAAUGUGCAAUUCACAGGUUAUGUGGGAACUCAAGACAGGAAGCUGGAGCAGGAAAUGAAGCAGAGACCAGUGCAGAAGGCUUGCGCUCAGCCAGUUCUCAGAAAACCCAGAAUUACCUUCUGAGGAACUACACCCGCCAUGGUGGACUAAACCCUCGUCUUUGGUCAUUAAAGAAGAAAACACCCCCAGACGUGCCUGCAGGCCACUUUGCUGGAGGCAAUUCCUCAGUUAAGGUUCCUUAUUCUUUUGUGACUGUAACAAUGUGCCCAGAUGGCCAAGACUGACUCCCCCAAGCCAGUGUGCUGACUCAUUCGGCUGGAAGAUUAAUGGGAAAUUCACUUGCUGACUCAGGAAGACAUGAAUCUUGGCAAACUUUUCCUUCCAUUUAAGUCAAAAGUGG